rnacentral:misc_RNA from 1 species
CUUUGCUAUAUUUUCUGUAUUCUUUUGCUCCUGUAUAGGCUAGGAAACUGGCAUGUUUUGUUCCUUGAAGUUGAUCAAGAUGUUGGUUUACUUGAUCCGAUCUCCCCAGAAUACCAUUCUUGUUUCUUUCUUUUGUAGUUUCUUGUCUGUUCUUAUUUUUUUAAACCUAAUUGGUUCUUUAAAAAUAAAGGGACAAAACUUUAAAGAUAAAGUUGUACUCCAGUGGGCACAAGUUACAAAUUUAUGAAAACAAGGUUAACCGCGCCUCUUUCUUUCCCAUUAUUUAACAUGAUCUUCCCAUUUGGAGUACUGCCCACCUGCUAACGCACGAUAAUAUCUAUCUCUGCAGUGGACUGGUCUUCCAAAAGCAGCCUUGGCAGCAGCUGCUGCCAAAUCAUCCUCAGCCAUAACCUCCACCGGCAAACUCAGCAAACACUGAUAUUAUUCUUUGUGUUGAUAUUUGAAGUUGGAUCAUUUGAUGGGCUCUCUUUUGUGGCAAAAUUGUUUUGAAAGAAAUUCUCCAUGGGUGCGUCAAAGAUAAAUAGUAAUACUGCUGUAACGAGCAAUGCAACUGUUCCUACUAGUGUUUGUUUCAGCAAUUUGAUGACUGGUUUAACCUUGCAAGAGCCCAACAAUCUGU